rnacentral:rRNA from 1 species
GACGAACGCUGGCGGCGUGCUUAACACAUGCAAGUCGAACGGAAAGGCCCUGCUUUUGUGGGGUGCUCGAGUGGCGAACGGGUGAGUAACACGUGAGUAACCUGCCCUUGACUUUGGGAUAACUUCAGGAAACUGGGGCUAAUACCGGAUAGGAGCUCCUGCUGCAUGGUGGGGGUUGGAAAGUUUCGGCGGUUGGGGAUGGACUCGCGGCUUAUCAGCUUGUUGGUGGGGUAGUGGCUUACCAAGGCUUUGACGGGUAGCCGGCCUGAGAGGGUGACCGGCCACAUUGGAACUGAGAUACGGCCCAGACUCCUACGGGAGGCAGCAGUGGGGAAUAUUGCACAAUGGGCGGAAGCCUGAUGCAGCAACGCCGCGUGCGGGAUGACGGCCUUCGGGUUGUAAACCGCUUUCGCCUGUGACGAAGCGUGAGUGACGGUAAUGGGGAAAGAAGCACCGGCUAACUACGU